rnacentral:rRNA from 1 species
UGCUAGUCGUACGAGUUCAUACUCGUGGCGAAUAGCUCAGUAACACGUGGCCAAACUACCCUUCGGACCGUCAUACCCUCGGGAAACUGAGGUUAAUAACGGAUACCACAGUCCAGCUGGAAUGAGGACUGUGCCAAACGCCCCGGCGCCGAAGGAUGUGGCUGCGGCCGAUUAGGUAGACGGUGGGGUAACGGCCCACCGUGCCAAUAAUCGGUACGGGUCAUGAGAGUGAGAACCCGGAGACGGAAUCUGAGACAAGAUUCCGGGCCCUACGGGGCGCAGCAGGCGCGAAACCUUUACACUGCACGCCAGUGCGAUAAGGGAAUCCCAAGUGCGUAGGCAUAGAGCCUACGCUUUUGUCCACCGUAGGGAGGUGGACGAAUAAGGGCUGGGCAAGACCGGUGCCAGCCGCCGCGGUAAUACCGGCAGCCCGAGUGAUGGCCGAUCUUAUUGGGCCUAAAGCGUCCGUAGCUGGCCGCACAAGUCCAUCGGAAAAUCCACCCGCUCAACGGGUGGGCGUCCGGUGGAAACUGUGUGGCUUGGGACCGGAAGGCGCGACGGGUACGUCCGGGGUAGGAGUGAAAUCCCGUAAUCCUGGACGGACCGCCGAUGGCGAAAGCACGUCGCGAGAACGGAUCCGACAGUGAGGGACGAAAGCUAGGGUCUCGAACCGGAUUAGAUACCCGGGUAGUCCUAGCCGUAAACAAUGCCUGCUAGGUGUGGCUCCCACUACGAGUGGGUGCUGUGCCGUAGGGAAGCCGCUAAGCAGGCCGCCUGGGAAGUACGUCCGCAAGGAUGAAACU